GAGACAGCAGUAGCCACGGGAAUACGAAGGGGGCUAGCGUUGUUCGGAUUUACUGGGCGUAAAGGGUGCGUAGGCGGAUUGUUAAGUCAGGGGUGAAAUCCCGAGGCUCAACCUCGGAACUGCCUUUGAUACUGGCGAUCUUGAGUCCGGGAGAGGUGAGUGGAACUGCGAGUGUAGAGGUGAAAUUCGUAGAUAUUCGCAAGAACACCGGUGGCGAAGGCGGCUCACUGGCCCGGAACUGACGCUGAGGCACGAAAGCGUGGGGAGCAAACAGGAUUAGAUACCCCUGUAGUCCCUGUCUCUUAUAC
rnacentral:rRNA from 1 species